UACGGGGGGGGCAAGCGUUGUUCGGAAUUACUGGGCGUAAAGGGUUCGUAGGUGGCCAACUAAGUCAGACGUGAAAUCCCUCAGCUUAACUGGGGAACUGCGUCCGAUACUGGUUGGCUUGAGUUUGGGAGAGGGAUGCGGAAUUCCAGGUGUAGCGGUGAAAUGCGUAGAUAUUCGGAGGAACACCAGUGGCGAAGGCGGCUCACUGGCUCGAUACUGACGCUGAGGUGCGAAAGCGUGGGGAGCAAACAGG
rnacentral:rRNA from 1 species